rfam:Amborella trichopoda AMTR_V1.0_contig_22176, whole genome shotgun sequence.
GAGCAGAUGAUGAUGCAUAUUGUUAAUCCUGAUCAUUCAUGAGGUUACAAAAUUCGAGCUUUUUAAAACUGAUGCUCG